rnacentral:rRNA from 1 species
AGAGCGAACGCUGGCGGCAGGCCUAACACAUGCAAGUCGAGCGCCCGUAGCAAUACGGGAGCGGCAGACGGGAUAGUAACACGUGGGAACGCGCCCUUCGGUUCGGAAUAACUCAGGGAAACUUGAGCUAAUACCGGAUACGCCCUUACGGGGAAAGAUUUAUUGCCGAAGGAACGGCCCGCGUCCGAUUAGCUAGUUGGUGAGGUAAUGGCUCACCAAGGCGACGAUCGGUAGCUGGUCUGAGAGGAUGACCAGCAUCACUGGGACUGAGACACGGCCCAGACUCCUACGGGAGGCAGCAGUGGGGAAUAUUGGACAAUGGGCGCAAGCCUGAUCCAGCCAUGCCGCGUGGAUGAUGAAGGCCUUAGGGUUGUAAAGUCCUUUCGGCGGGGAAGAUAAUGACGGUACCCGCAGAAGAAGCCCCGGCUAACUUCGUGCCAGCAGCCGC